rnacentral:rRNA from 1 species
GGCCUUUGGCGUAGAAUGUAAGGUCUGACCUGCCCACUGAAAUUUUAAAUGGCCGUGGUAUUUUGACCGUGCUAAGGUAGCAUAAUCAUUAGUUUUUUAAUUAAAAACUGGAAUGAAGGGUUGGAUAAGAAAAUGACUGUCUCUAUUUAAUUUAAUUAGAAUUUUAUUUUUAAGUUAAAAAGCUUAAAUAAAUUUAAAAGACGAGAAGACCCUAUAGAGUUUUAUUAAUAAAUAAAAAAUAUAUUUUAGUAUUAAUUUAUUUUGUUUAUUUAUUAAUUUAAUUGGGGUGAUUGAAAAAUUUAAUUAACUUUUUUUAUUUAAUAACAUUAAUUCUAUGAAUUAAUGAUCCAAUAUUUUUGAUUAUAAGAUAAAAUUACCUUAGGGAUAACAGCGUAAUUUUUUUAGAAAGUUCAUAU